CUCAAAUGAACGUCUCGUCAGCUUCGGCGGAUCAUACCAUUCAUUGCACAAACAAUGUUCCGAUGUGCCGUACUGUGGUUCAUGUGAUGUCACGGAUGUCACUGCGUGUGCCUCAGCCAACUGAAGAGCAGGCGGUUAUUGUGGCCUGUUUCAAGCUUGGCGCCCAUCACAUCACACAUUCGUCGUUCUUCAGACGACAAGACAGCGAUUCGUGAUCGUUCCAUGUUGAACCAUGGAUCCUCCUAUUCCGAAACUAUCACUAUGCACUUUGACAGCUCUGGACGUCCCAGACAUCGGUCGACCACAUCAGCUGGUGAGGCAGGACUCAUUUGGCCUGGUUCCACGUGGACAGAUUCCGUACUACCUUUUGUUAGAGUCUGUCUUGGAGCAGCUCUGCAGUUUUUAUGAAAGUGAUGAUUCUCUUCGCAAAGAAUUAUUUGAAGGAGUACGAAGGCGACUUCAUCAACUUAAGUUCUUAGAUCCCACUCCAGACCUGCAGGAGUUGUGCUCCCUUAGGGUGAAAUUUCGGCGUUCAUUCAGUUAUUUGAUUCAGAAUGUCAGAAGAGACCUUCGUGGGCAGCUCAGUGACAGCUUGGUUUGCUUGCCUGGGCCACAGCUUGACCUCGCACUUCACCGUGAUGAUGAAGUUGUAUGUCACCAAAAACGUUACAAAUAUGACUUUGAAGAAAUUGAAGAAAUCGCUCAAGGAGGAUUUGGAAUUGUGUGUAAGGCAGUAAGAAGAACAGACCGCCAGGUUUAUGCUGUGAAGAAGAUCCCCUUCAAGUAUGUCAAUCUGAAGUUCCUAAAGCAGGUAUUAAGAGAAGUGGAGCUUUUGGCUCAGCUUUCUCACUCUAAUAUUGUGGCCUACAAGUCAGCAUGGAUUGAAAACAUGACAGAUUUUAGGACGAAGUCAUGUGCAGCCACUGUUGACAGCUCUCAAAGUACAGUUCUUAUCUCUUCUGGUGCUGGCGACAACACAAGCUCACUGCCAUAUGUUGUUGAGUCGUCCACAUCUCUCGACACAGUGCCAGCAGCACAUUUGAAGCAGCUUUCUUAUAGCACUGUUGUUGAGACAAACGACGUUGAAAAGUUUGAUCACUGGGAAACUGGGCACUGCGUUUCACUGGAAGAGCCAAGCAAAGCGACGCUGGACUUCGUUUGUGGUAGGGCUUCUGCAGAGGGAUGGAAGUGUUCACGCCAGAGCUCAAAGAGUGAUAGCGAGCUCAGAAAAGAUGCCGAUGGACAAAACAUAAAUGGAAGAAAGACUUCAAGUGAUGUUGCGACCUCCCCAGUCGUGGCCACUCCCCGAGAGCAUAUUUUCAGACUUCUUAAUUCUUCUGAUGUUGGAGGCAUGCUGUACAUUCAAAUGGAGCUAUGCUCCAAAAACCUCGCUGACUGGUUGGCCGCACGUAAUCAGCGGCUAGCUGAAGAAGAGUCAGCUAAGAGUAGCAUCAGCAUCAUUCCACCAGCAAUGCGCACCUUCAAGCAAAUAUUGAAAGGGGUGGAGUAUAUGCAUUCCAAAGGAUUCAUCCAUAGAGAUAUUAAGCCCCAAAACAUCCUGUUUAAUUUGGAAGGUACGUCGGUGAAGCUCGGAGACUUUGGCCUUGCCACUCGCAGUAACCAGCAGGAGCCGUUAUCUCGUCAGUUUCCAUGGGCACCUCACACGGGUCAUACACAAGGUGUAGGCACCAGCCUGUAUGCUGCACCGGAGCAGUGUGAACAAGCCUCUUAUGACAGCAAGGUGGACAUAUACAGCUUGGGUGUAGUGCUGACUGAGCUACUGUGCCCCUUCUUCACAGUCCAUGAGCGCCUCACAGAGCUCACAAAACUCCGUAAUGGCAGUCUGCCAUCAGCACUAAAGGAAUAUUCACAGGACAUGGCGAUAGCCAUUUCGGCAAUGUGCCACAGUGAUCCUAAAGAAAGACCAAGUGCAAAAGAACUCUUGAUUUCACCACUUUUCAUUGCUAAAGACAAGGUCCCUCUUUGUUGGAGGAUAAAAUGUUGGGGCUCUUGACAGUUGGAGUUAAGCAGGAGCUUUUUGCUGCCUUCUGCCAUGACUCUCUUGCUGUGCCUUUGGAGGGCAUGAAUUGCUUGCAGAGACUCAUAAGGCUUGCCAGUUGGAAAGAUCUCCAAAUGCUCCAAGUAACUCCAGCCUUGGUACCACAACUUUAUUAUGAAACGAUCAUCAAGGACUUAAGAGAUGAGCUGAAAGAAAAAGACAGACAGAUAUCCUGCAUGGCAAAUCAGUUGUCUCUCUUGAAAAGUGAAU